CGCGUAGGCGGCUUCGUAUGUCGGGUGUGAAAUCCCACCUCUUAAAGGUGGAAUUGCAUUCGAAACUACGGGGCUGGAGUGCCGGAGAGGAUGGUGGAAUUCCUGGUGUAGAGGUGAAAUUCGUAGAUAUCAGGAGGAACACCGGUGGCGAAGGCGGCCAUCUGGACGGUAACUGACGCUGAGGCGCGAAAGCGUGGGAUCAAACA
rnacentral:rRNA from 1 species